AUGCAGUCGAACGCGAAAUUUCCCUUCGGGGGGAAAGUAGAGUGGCGCACGGGUGAGUAACACGUAGGUAAUUUGCCUUUGGGUGGGGAAUAACUCAGGGAAACUUGAGCUAAUACCGCAUAAUGCAGCGGCUCGACAUCGAGACAGUUGUUAAAGCGGGGGAUUGGAGCAAUCCGACCUCGCGCCUAAAGAGAAGCCUGCGGCAGAUUAGCUAGUUGGUAAGGUAAUGGCUUACCAAGGCGACGAUCUGUAACCGGCCUGAGAGGGCGGUCGGUCACACUGACACUGACAUACGGGUCAGACUCCUACGGGAGGCAGCAGUCGGGAAUUUUGGGCAAUGGGCGAAAGCCUGACCCAGCAACGCCGCGUGAAGGAUGAAAUUUUUCGGAAUGUAAACUUCGCAAGAACAGGAAGAAUAAGUAGGGGACAAUACCCCCUAUGAUGACGGUACUGUUUGUAAGCUCCGGCUAACUCCGUGCCAGCAGCCGCGGUAAUACGGGGGGAGCAAGCGUUGUUCGGAUUUACUGGGCGUAAAGGGCGCGUANGCGGCGUGACAAGUCACUUGUGAAAUCUCCGGGCUUAACUCGGAACGGUCAAGUGAUACUGUCGUGCUAGAGUACAGAANGGGCAACUGGAAUUCUCGGUGUAGCGGUGAAAUGCGUAGAUAUCGAGAGGAACACCUGCGGCGAAGGNGGGUUGCUGGGCUGAUACUGACGCUGAGGCGCGAAAGCC
rnacentral:rRNA from 1 species